UGCAGAUCCGACGCUCGCUCCAUCAUCAACGAUUCUACCCAGUGGGACGGGUGGUAACCCAAGUGGUAGCCGGUCGCCCGCUACGACUACGGGCUCCGAGCAAAAAGUACAAAGUGAGAUUGUUAAAGCUAAGGGGGUUGAAGAAGUCUUCAAAGCUGUCACCGAUGCUAACAUUACUGUAACCUUUGAGACAGCGUCCACCGCGCUCAAUGUCGUUGACAACCUGACACAACAGUCAUCAGGGCAAUUGAACAAAGAGGAUAUCGACAGCAUCAAGGGAACCUUGUCUGCCGUUUCAUCCCAAGCAGCCUCCACGAAAGAAACGGCUCAGACGUUCUUGGACAUUGUCAAAACCAUUCUUGUACCGAACGACACUUUGACGGAUCCCGAUACAGUAUCUUCAGAG